rnacentral:rRNA from 1 species
AUUGAACGCUGGCGGCAUGCUUUACACAUGCAAGUCGGACGGCAGCACAGAGAAGCUUGCUUCUUGGGUGGCGAGUGGCGAACGGGUGAGUAACAUAUCGGAACGUACCGAGCAGUGGGGGAUAACUAAUCGAAAGAUUAGCUAAUACCGCAUAUAUUCUGAGGAAGAAAGCAGGGGACCAUUUGGCCUUGCGCUGUUUGAGCGGCCGAUAUCUGAUUAGCUAGUUGGUGGGGUAAAGGCCUACCAAGGCGACGAUCAGUAGCGGGUCUGAGAGGAUGAUCCGCCACACUGGGACUGAGACACGGCCCAGACUCCUACGGGAGGCAGCAGUGGGGAAUUUUGGACAAUGGGCGCAAGCCUGAUCCAGCCAUGCCCCGUGUCUGAAGAAGGCCUUCGGGUUGUAAAGGACUUUUGUCAGGAAAGAAAAAGGCGGGGUUAAUACUCCCUGUCUGAUGACGGUACCCUGAAGAAUAA